AGAAUCAACGCUGGCGGCGUGCCUAACACAUGCAAGUCGAACGAGAAAGGGGUAGCAAUACCCUGAGUAAAGUGGCGCACGGGUGAGUAACACGUGACUAACCUACCCUGGAGUGGGGGAUAACUGAGGGAAACCUUAGCUAAUACCGCAUAAUACCUACGGGUCAAAGGAGCAAUUCGCUUCAGGAGGGGUCGCGGCCGAUUAGUUAGUUGGCGGGGUAAUGGCCCACCAAGACGAUGAUCGGUA
rnacentral:rRNA from 1 species